GGAAAAUGAAUAUAUGAAAACAAAAAUGUUAUUACAUUUUGCUAAGAAGCAAGCAAACAAAUCAUAUAAUUCCAAAACGGUUCUAAAUUUCUCAUUAUUUCCCAUAGUUAAUUGUCUCACCGUCUAUUUUGACAAUUGAUUUUCGAACUUGAAUCGACUGAUUUCACUUGAAGUGGCAAAUCGCUGAAGGGAAGUAGACGAAAAAAUUGAAGAGAAAAAAUCACCAAAUUGUUGAGAGUUUCAUUUCUGAAAAGACUAGAAAUGGCUAGGGCUUUUUUCUUUUUGUCAACAAAACUACUGCUGGUUGUUUUUUCUACAGAGAUGAAUCCUAGGUCGGGGACGCAAUGAAGGGAAGGGGAAGGAGAACGAGAGAGCAUUUAGCAAGUUCUGAUGCUGGGAUGUGAAGAGGGAAAACUUUGGAAAAUAUCUUGCCAAAAUAAAAAGGGAAAGACAUUUCCAAAAAAACCUCCUUU
rnacentral:lncRNA from 1 species